rnacentral:ncRNA from 2 species
CACUCAUCGAGACCGGCGGAGGGACAGGCCCUUUGAUGCCGGGGCAACCUGCAGGCGCAAGCCUGCGACGGUGCCAACUCCUGCGGGGCGCCCUCGGGUGCCACCGGUAGAUGGGAU